rnacentral:rRNA from 1 species
GACGAACGCUGGCGGCGUGCCUAAUACAUGCAAGUAGAACGCUGAAGGAGGAGCUUGCUUCUCCGGAUGAGUUGCGAACGGGUGAGUAACGCGUAGAUAACCUGCCUGGUAGCGGGGGAUAACUAUUGGAAACGAUAGCUAAUACCGCAUAAGAGUAGAUGUCGCAUGACAUUUGCUUAAAAGGUGCAACUGCACCACUACCAGAUGGACCUGCGUUGUAUUAGCUAGUUGGUGAGGUAACGGCUCACCAAGGCAACGAUACAUAGCCGACCUGAGAGGGUGAUCGGCCACACUGGGACUGAGACACGGCCCAGACUCCUACGGGAGGCAGCAGUAGGGAAUCUUCGGCAAUGGACGGAAGUCUGACCGAGCAACGCCGCGUGAGUGAAGAAGGUUUUCGGAUCGUAAAGCUCUGUUGUAAGAGAAGAACGAGUGUGAGAGUGGAAAGUUCACACUGUGACGGUAUCUUACCAGAAAGGGACGGCUAACUACGUG